GUGACACUGCUUGAUGCUAAUCUGUCUAAUUUAUAGCCCUAUUGUGCAUCCUCUCUGGAAGACAUACUGUAGAGUUCAGUUUAAUGCUCUCACAGUUCACCUUCCCAAAAGGUAAAUACAUGUUUCAUGUUUUAGAUCAAUUAACAGGCUAAUAGCUAAGGGGAAGAUACAGAAGAAAGAAGGCAUCCCAGAGUAUCUUUUUCCCCUCCGAGUUUAAUGAUUUGCCUGUAGCCUGGACAUUUGGCAUGCGUGGAAUGUUUGUCUCCACAUCCAGACCCAUUGUGUCGGAGGAAGAGAAAACUAGAGGAAAAGAUCUACGUGCCUUUCUCAGGAUGGGUGUUUGUCCAUUUUGAAGCUGAUCAAUGAAUGAAAGAAGAUGAUUGUUUCAAAGCAUCCCGAAGGUCCUGCGUAAACCCAAAGCAGCAGCUGGUUUCACUUUACCUGCUUUCUCGAUGCACAGAACCCCACCGUAAUAGGUCCGUUCCUGUGGUUUUAGUGGUGGAGUAGAGGGAUCGCAUAGGGCUCUUCUCACAGACUGACAUGGCGACUGGAACAGCUAAACCUGGAGCUGGAAUCUACACUGAAGGGGUUUUGGAGAUGCCAAGCUGUUCUCCUAAUGAGAUGCAUACCAGCACUGAAGCCUGUGAGACAGAUUGGGCCUCCUGCUAGUCCGUUCCACCUCGGUCAGAGACCUUCCACUGCCCUGCAGGCAAUGCAGCCACAGCUUCACUCUCUUCCCAUCAUGCUCCACUGCUGCUUACCUUGUGCUCCGCCUACAUCACUCAUGCACAUCCUCACAGGUCUGUUAACCCCAUACAGACUUAGGCGAGACGUUCUGGAGGAAUUUAUUGUGGAUUUUGGGAAUCAAGAACUGGUUCUUAUUCAAAACUGGUUCCAUUCAUGAUGUUGAUGUGAUUCACCUUUUAAUGCAUGAAUGUUUCGUCAAUCUUUAUUACAUAUUCGGGUCUUUAGCUACCCGAAUCUAUAUCUAACAUGCAUAGAUCUCCACCUGUCGUGAAUCGCAAUAGUAUAAAACUCUCCUCAUAUUAGAAUUAAAAAUAAAAUAAAGCAUAUUUUGUUACCUUUUGAAGCUUGGAAGUGUUCAGUUUGAGAAGGUGUGUUAUACCAUCACUGCUGUCCUCGUCAGAACUCAUUUCCCCCAGAACAUUAAGCAUCUGGCUCAUGUCCGUGAUCUCAACCAUAUUCUCAAAACAUCUUCAAUUAUUUUGAUCGCUGACAGCUUCUUCAUCAGAUCCACAAACAAUAUAUUUAUAUUAAAUAUCACAUAUAUUUUAGUACUUGCUCUGCAGUAAAUCGCUGACAAUGAGCAUUUUCAAGUUAUGCUGAUGAUACGUCCUAUUCUUUUGUUUCCUGC